GCCAUAUCUUUUGACUUUGUAAAAACUUUUGGCAUAUGAGUUGUAUAUUUCAUGUAGUCAAACAGUAAUCUUUUCCUUUAUGGAUUCCAAUUUUUAAAUGGUUUAUAUUUUUAGCUAAAUUUUCAGGAGUGAAAAGAAAAAGAGGAAGGAAGAAACCCCUCUCAGGCAAUCAUGUACAGCCACCCGAAACAAUGAAAUGUAAUACAUUCAUAAGACAAGUGAAAGAAGAGCAUGGCAGACACACAGAUGCAACUGUGAAAGUUCCUUUUCUUAAGAAAUGCAAGGAAGCAGGACUUCUUAAUUACUUACUUGAAGAAAUAUUAGACAAAGUUCAUUCAAUUCCAGAAAAACUCAUGGAUGAGACUACUUCAGAAUCAGACCAAGCACUUCCCAAACAGUGUGCCUGAGAACCACCUGUAGGGCUGGUGAGGACACAGAUAGCUGGGCCUAUCCCACAGAGAUUCUGAUUCAGUACAAAUACCAAGAAUUGGGGGCCAGGCGCGGUGGCUCACGCCUGUAAUCCCAGCACUUUGGGAGCCCGAGACUAUGAAGAAAUCGGGAGUGCACUUUUUGACUGUAGAUUGUUCGAAGACACAUUUGUAAAUUUUCAAGCAGCAAUAGAGAAAAAAAUUCAUGCAUCU
rnacentral:lncRNA from 10 species